AUUUGGUUCAUGUGCUUGGCUGAUAAGCCAAUGGUGCGAAGCUACCAUCUGAGGGAUUAUGACUGAACGCCUCUAAGUCAGAAUCCCGCCUGGAAAGCGACGAUGCAUUCGUGCCUCGGCCUCGAGAGGCGUAGCUAGACGGCCGCGUGGCCGUGGAAAGAGCCCGAUUCCGACCCGAGAGGCCGCGGCAAGAGGCGGCCUCGAAGUCGGUGGAUCCUCCUGCUCGAAAGGCGGGGUGCUAAACCAUUCGCAGACGACCUAGUUGAAGAUCGGGGUGUCGUGAUCACUAGAGCAGUACAUCUCACUGCGAUUUGUUGAGAGUAAGCCUCAAGAUCUGUCGGUUUGU
rfam:Ciona savignyi cont_47713, whole genome shotgun sequence.